CCAGCUAAUCACCAGCCUCCUCCCCAGCAUACACCCCCGUCAGCCAGCCUCCAGUGUGUUUCCCAGUCUGCUAAUCACCAGAAUUGAGGCCCACGCCCUGUUCCGCCUGCGUUUCAGCCAUGCCUUGUUCCACUUCCUGCUGGGCCGCAGUCCCAAGACCUUGUCCCUGUCCCUGCUGGGCUGCAGUCCCAAGACCCUGUCCCUGUCCCUGCUGGGCUACAGUCCCAAGACCCUGUCCCUGUCCCUGUUGGAUCGCAGGGACAGGGACAGAGUUUCCCGGCUCUGUCUCUGUCCCCAGGCCAAGUUUCCUGGCUCUGUCUCUGUCCCCGGGCCGUCCGCCCUAUUUUCCCGGCUGCUUCUGCCUUUCCCCCAAUUCAGCGGUUCUGUGCCCGCUUCUCUGCCCCACCCUGAUUUGUUCCACCUGUGUCUAAUCACCGUUGUGUAUUUAAGCCUGUGUGUUCCCCUUUGUCUUUGUCAGUUCAUCAUCGUUUUUCAUGUGUUGUGUGUCACUUGUGAGGGAGUUCUUCCCAGUGUUUUUUGCAUUUCAAAUUUAUUCCGUUGGAUUCUUUGUGAAACUGCAUGCCGGACCAGCUGCUUUUUGUUCCCAGUAAGUUGAUUAAAUCAUUGAACUCUG